CUGUGCAUCAGCUUCGGCCCAUUGCCUUAUCCUAAAGGCAACGGGGAUAAGCUUGGGAUAAGCAUUGGGAUAAACUGGUAUAGGCAAUGCAUAGGGUGCAAGAGGAUAUCAGCAUCCUGCUUCUUUCACAGGGUUUGCAGAAUUAGUAGCUGCUGACUUUUCCUGGUUUUCUUGUCUAUGUAUUUGUCUCAGGGCACCUCUCUUACUGUAUGCUUGUCAAAUCCCUACCUGUAAGGUUUUUAAAGGCUUUAGUAUUAUUUUACAGUCAUUCUUCAACAGCAUUUUCUCAUUCUUCAACUUUGUUUUCACACUUCAGCUGAAAUUUGCCCAAACAGCUGAGCACAAAAUGUACCCAAGAACAGGAAAACCCCAAGUACACAGUAAUUUCCUUCAAAUGUCUUCAAAGCUUUACAGGAACUUCAAAAUCACCAAAAACUGUAAACUAGGAACACAUAAUUUGAAAUUGGAAGGGGCCUUAAGUAAUUUCUAUUACACUGCUUUUCUACAACACAGCUCCAUUUCAAUAUAUUGAAUAAUUCCUGGAGUUUUUCAAUGAUUCUCCAUAGUAUCAUUUUAGAAAUGAAAGAAAUGUGUGUUCAUCCAUUGGUUCGAGACCUUAAGUCCUCCCAGGAGAAUCACAAAAUGAACAUAAUGUUCCAAGAGCUGGAUCACUGGUUAAGCUGAUAGAUGUGAAAACUCUAGUAGCUAGAUAAUAAGUUAUUGGCUGCAGUUCUAAGAGUGAAUAAAUUAUUUUAAGCUUCAUAGUAAUUCAUGCUCACAAAAUGAGUAAGGGUACCAUCUGUUAGAGUACAGAUAAUACAAAAUUCUUUUAAUUUGAAAUUAAAUUGCUCACUUUUGACACAGCUGUGUCACUGGUGAACAGUCCUUAUAUUGAAGUCCUAUAGAAGCAGAAACUUACCUUUUCUGAACAAUGGCAAAAAAAUCACUUAGGCCUAUAAGCAAGGUAGAUGGAAAUGUAGUAAAUAAUUUUGGAGUAAUAUAUGUGGGGGGGAUAUUUGAACUCUAAAAGUGGGAAAAAUGAUAAAGGAAGAAAGAAGGUAGUAAAACUAUUUGGGAGUGUGGAAUAGUUUCAGGUUAACUCGCAUGUUCUCCAGCAGUGUUAAAACUUCAAAUAAGCAGGGGAUCCUGCACCAGGAAACACAGGUACUCUCUAUGCCCAACUCACUUCACCUCCAUGUUUCUAAUAAAAGCCUCAACUAACUCCUGAAGUUCUCAUUCAUCUCCCUAGAGAGCUUACAGUCAUGCCUCCAAAGUAAUUUAAAUAAUUUAAGGCAAUGGAUGUGCAUACAGAAGCUGAAAAUCUGGGUAGAAUCUGGUUUUAAUAUAUUUUUUAUUUUAUUGCCUAUCUACGGUAUUAUCUAAAAGUAAUUAAUUUGUGCUGCUUCUAGAGGAAGUGGGAUAAUUUCCUAUACUUCAUAAAUAUUUUUACUAAUUCCUAUUGGAGAAAGAUAGAAAUUUAGUUUUAAUUACAUAAUUGCAGUGAACAAAAGAAAUUAUUAGUAUAAUAGGAAAAAUGACCUGAAGUAGAUUUGAAGAGCUGUAUUAUACUUCUUCCUCUUCUCUCUCACAAGAAGCAUGGGGAAUCUAUGCAUUCCACCUCCCUGUGCUGGUAGUUUGCCAAGUCAGAGGAAAUUACUUGAGUCUACCACAGUUUACUAUUCAUAUUACAAAGUACAAGACAGAAUAGCUGCAGUGGAUUGUCAAACACAGAACAGUCAGGUUUUCCACUGCCAAGCAAGUUCCUGGUUCAGCUCCAAGGGAAAAGCCAACAGCUCUCCUGCACAGGAGAACAGGAAGACACUGAUAUAAGGUCAGUCAUAAUGAGCACCAGUAUUAGCACUUCAGUUGCCUUUAUUUUCUUUUUUCCUUUGUGGGAGCAGGGGGUGGUAGGUCGUAGGGAAAAAUAAAAUUUUCUUAAUUUAUAUGCGGGACAUAGAUAAAUCUUUUCAAGUGUUUCCUCACACCUUUUCCUACAUGUAAGAGCCAGCACAGGAGGAGGCAUAACCUGCUUACUAGAUAUAAUAAUAAAUGAAUGAUCAAAGUUCUGUAUCUCUAGGUGGUUGCUGGAUAAUAAAUAAAAUAGGAGACUAAGAACUUUUAAGGUUUUCACUUUAAAAACCAGAUUUUAAAAAUUAUUAUUAUUAUUACUGUUAAUGGAAAAGGAUGCAGUGCUUUGAUGAUGUGAUAAUCUUAUACCAGAGGAGUAAGAAUAUGAUCUUUGUAGUGGUAGCCUGAGUGGCUACAAGAAAAGAGAAAUUGUAUUCACUAAGGUCGGAGAAAACAUUACAGAAAUUAGACACAACUUAAUUAGAAUUGUAAAAUAAGAUUACUUCCUUAGAUAUGAUACAGAAAAGUAUGAUACAUUUAAGAAGGCAUAUGAUAAAGUAAAUGCUAAUUGCAGGCCUGAAGGACAGGCAAAAAAGUGUUCUUUUCUAUAGUGGCUGUGAAAGGAAGUAAUAGGCUAUAGAGAAGGUAUAAAGACUUCUGGUUUAGAGGUCAUAUAUUUCUGUUUUAGGAAUAUUGAGAGAACAUUUAAAAUCCUGAACAAAGGCAGUGUCUGGAAUAGAGGUGCAAGUAUAAAUCAUCCAUAACUAAUUAUGAGAUUACUGAAUGGUAUGGAAGGUAUGAGAUUACAUAAAGGGUAUGGGGGGAAAUAAGAUAGAACAAUGACACUGUUGUAAUGAUUUCUACAGUAAAAGAAAGUCUCCUUGGGUAGGCAUCUUGAAAAAUAUUCAGGGCACAGAAGACAAUACAGCCAUGAAAGACUGACAGCAGAGAGCACAAUUUCAAGAAGAAAAUCAUGCUGGUAGUGUCAAACACCCUAGGGAACAGAGCAAUGGUUUUGAUCUUGGACCACCAGAAUGAAAAGUCUCAAAUCAAAAAGCAGUUCUAAAGCUGUGUCAUCUGAAAGACUGUAUUUUGGUCUCAUAGCUCAAAGACGAGAGGAAUAGACCAGGGUUGGAAGGGACCUUAAAGAUCAUCUUGUUCCAGUCCUUCUGCCAUUGACAAGGACACCUUCCACUGGAACAGGCUGCUCAAAGCCCCAUGAUACAAAAAAUAAACUGAUGUGAUAAAGUAUUUUGGCAGAUUAAAUUGGGUACUUUUAUUUGUAAUGCUACUUUUAGUCUAAGUAUUCCAUGAAUAGUUUCCUUUUUGGUUAGCAGCUUAAUAUCUUAUAUCAGGAAUUAUGUCACAAUUUGGGUAUUUUCCCCCUCUUCUUUAGGAUUUAGUCCAAAUUCUUAGAAUAUCUGUGCUGAAGGGUGGUGGAAGCAGCACAGUUCCAGGGAACACAGACAAUGUUUCUGCACAAGCUGGAUACAAUCAUGAAGAAAAUUCACCUACAGUAAGAGACGUCAUUAAUAUUCUAAGUGCUUUGUGAGUAAUCAUGCAGCUGCUACCAUGCCAUUGUUUAAUGAGCUCCCAGUGUAGAGCUCUCCAGUGUGACACCAUGGGUUCUCAGAAUCCCAGGGGGUUCUCAGAAUCCAAGGGGGUUCUCAGAAUCCCAGUUUGGCCAGGCCUCCUGCACCCACUGUGCUGCUCCAGUACUGGAGGCACAGCACCCAGAGAGGCACAGGGAGCUGAGUGUUUCCAGAACUUCCUGCUGGGAUCCCUCCCAGCCCUGAGGGAUGCUGAGCUGAAGCUGUUUCAGUCUUUGGGUGCUGCCUUGCCUGGCUAGAAGGGACUGAGCAGUGCCAGGCUGUAGUCACAGCCACUUUUCAGGACCUGCAGCUCCAGCUGCAGCCCGAAUACAUCACCAUAAACUGUGAAGCAGGAGUCUGGGGAACAAACAGUUCAUAUAGGUCUGCACAAAAGGAUUAGAACACUUAUUAAAAAUAAAUGCUAGUGCUUCAGUAA